UACGUAGGGGGCAAGCGUUGUCCGGAUUUAUUGGGCGUAAAGAGCGUGUAGGCGGCCAAGCAGGUCAGCUGUGAAAACUCGAGGCUCAACCUCGAGACGUCGGUUGAAACCGCUUGGCUAGAGUCCGGAAGAGGAGAGUGGAAUUCCCGGUGUAGCGGUGAAAUGCGCAGAUAUCGGAAAGAACACCCGUGGCGAAGGCGGCUCUCUGGGACGGUACUGACGCUGAGGAGCGAAAGCGUGGGGAGCGAACAGG
rnacentral:rRNA from 1 species